CCUAGAGACUGAGAUCAGAGCCGAGGGGCAGACCACGGAACAGGGAGGUGUCUGGGUGGCUGGACAUGCCAUGGAGUUCUGGUCCAGUCUUUCAUGUCUUAAACAGGAUGAUAAGACAAGGAAUACAGAUGAUGACUGAAGAAUUUCCAGAGAAUCUAGUGGAGGUGGGAAAGUGUCCUUCUCCAGGGAGGGUCCUGAAGAUGGGAGCAGAUUCCUGCUCUCCAGCAGCCCCUCCUCACCCAGGCCUCAGUUUCCAGGGAGAACAUGUUCAGCCUUCCUCCGUGAGAGGGGCUGGGAGGCAGCGAGGGUGAUGCCCCGAGGGUCCUAUUCUCCUGCCUCAGUUUCACGUAAUGCAAGUGUUUUCCACUAAAAGCGAAGAUCUAAACUGCCCGAGGGAGCAUCACCACUCACAGCUUUUAUAUAUUGGAUCACCUGGUGACAUUGAAUUUAAGGAGCAAAGGAGGG
rnacentral:lncRNA from 1 species